GAUGAACGCUGGCGGCGUGCUUAACACAUGCAAGUCGAACGAUGAAGCCCAGCUUGCUGGGUGGAUUAGUGGCGAACGGGUGAGUAACACGUGAGUAACCUGCCUUUAACUCUGGGAUAAGCCUGGGAAACUGGGUCUAAUACCGGAUAGGAGCGUCCACCGCAUGGUGGGUGUUGGAAAGAUUUAUCGGUUUUGGAUGGACUCGCGGCCUAUCAGCUUGUUGGUGAGGUAAUGGCUCACCAAGGCGACGACGGGUAGCCGGCCUGAGAGGGUGACCGGCCACACUGGGACUGAGACACGGCCCAGACUCCUACGGGAGGCAGCAGUGGGGAAUAUUGCACAAUGGGCGCAAGCCUGAUGCAGCGACGCCGCGUGAGGGAUGACGGCCUUCGGGUUGUAAACCUCUUUCAGUAGGGAAGAAGCGAAAGUGACGGUACCUGCAGAAGAAGCACCGGCUAACUACGUG
rnacentral:rRNA from 1 species